rnacentral:rRNA from 1 species
UACGAGAGGUGCAAGCGUUAUUCGGAAUCAUUGGGCGUAAAGGGUGCGUAGACGGUAUGUUAAGUCUGUUGUUAAAUACCUCGGCUCAACCGAGGACAUGCAGCGGAUACUGGCAUGCUAGAGGGUGGAAGAGAGAAGUGGAAUUCUUGGAGUAGCGGUAAAAUGCGUAGAUCUCAAGAGGAACACCGAUGGCGAAGGCAGCUUCUUGGUCCAUACCUGACGUUGAGGCACGAAAGCGUGGGGAGCAAACAGGAUUAGAUACCCUGGUAGUCCACGCUGUAAACGAUAAUCACUAGACGUUGGUCUUGUUUAACAGGAUCAGUGUCGAAGCUAACGCGUUAAGUGAUUCGCCUGGGAAGUACGGUCGCAAGAUUAAA